rnacentral:rRNA from 1 species
GACGAACGCUGGCGGCGUGCUUAACACAUGCAAGUCGAACGGAAAGGCCCUGCUUUUGUGGGGUGCUCGAGUGGCGAACGGGUGAGUAACACGUGAGUAACCUGCCCUUGACUUUGGGAUAACUUCAGGAAACUGGGGCUAAUACCAGAUAGGAGCUCCUGCUGCAUGGUGGGGGUUGGAAAGUUUCGGCGGUUGGGGAUGGACUCGCGGCUUAUCAGCUUGUUGGUGGGGUAGUGGCUUACCAAGGCUUUGACGGGUAGCCGGCCUGAGAGGGUGACCGGCCACAUUGGGACUGAGAUACGGCCCAGACUCCUACGGGAGGCAGCAGUGGGGAGUAUUGCACAAUGGGCGGAAGCCUGAUGCAGCAACGCCGCGUGCGGGAUGACGGCCUUCGGGUUGUAAACCGCUUUCGCCUGUGACGAAGCGUGAGUGACGGUAAUGGGUAAAGAAGCACCGGCUAACUACGUG